rnacentral:SRP_RNA from 1 species
CCAUACUAGCCGGGGUGGUAGCGGUACCUUGUACCUGAAAUCCGCUGUAGCAGGGGUGAUGUUUCUUUCAGGGGGUCCUUUGUGCGGACAGCGCCGGCGGACGCGUGUCGAAGGAUGGGUCCUGUGCGACUGAAAGCUGCGAACCAUGUCAGGUGGGGAACCAAGCAGCAUUAAGCAGUCCGUUCAGUGUGCCGCAGGGAAGCCUGUCCGGAGCGCCGAACCCGGGACGCGCGUGUAAAGGAUACUUCAAAAAAGAAGCGUAUGG